rnacentral:rRNA from 1 species
UACAGAGGUCUCAAGCGUUUGUUCGGGAUUCAUUGGGCGUAAAGGGUGCGUAGGCGGCGCGGUAAGUCGGGUGUGAAAUCUCGGAGCUUAACUCCGAAACUGCAUUCGAUACUGCCGUGCUUGAGGACUGGAGAGGAGACUGGAAUUUACGGUGUAGCGGUGAAAUGCGUAGAUAUCGUAAGGAAGACCAGUGGCGAAGGCGGGUCUCUGGACAGUUCCUGACACUGAGACACGAAGGCCAGGGGAGCAAACGGG